GAAAAGAAACCAACAGGGAUUGCCCUAGUAACGGCGAGUGAAGCGGCAACAGCUCAAAUUUGAAAGCUGGCUCCGGCCCGCAUUGUAAUUUGCAGAGGAUGCUUUUGGCGAGGUGCCUUCCGAGUUCCCUGGAACGGGACGCCAUAGAGGGUGAGAGCCCCGUAUGGAUGGACACCAGACCUGUGUAAAGCUCCUUCAACGAGUCGAGUAGUUUGGGAAUGCUGCUCUAAAUGGGAGGUAAAUCUCUUCUAAAGCUAAAUACCGGCCAGAGACCGAUAGCGCACAAGUAGAGUGAUCGAAAGAUGAAAAGCACCUUGAAAAGGGGGUUAAACAGUACGUGAAAUUGUUGAAAGGGAAGCGCUUGUGACCAGACUUGCGCCGGGCAGCUCAUCAGGGGUUCUCCCCUGUGCACUCUGCCCGGCUCAGGCCAGCAUCGGUUCUCGUGGGAGGAUAAGAACAGUGGGAACGUGGCCCCCUCUCGGGGGGGUGUUAUAGCCCAUUGUACGAUACUCUCGUGGGGACCGAGGUUCGCGCUCCGCAAGGAUGCUGGCGUAAUGGUCAUCAGCGACCCGUCUUGAAACACGGACCAAGGAGUCGUCCAUUAGAGCGAGCGUUUGGGUGUAAAACCCGCACGCGUAAUGAAAGUGAACGCAGGUGAGAGCUUCGGCGCAUCAUCGACCGAUCCUGAUGUCUUCGGAUGGAUUUGAGUAAGAGUUUUAACGGACGGACCCGAAAGACAGUGAACUAUGCUUGUAUAGGGUGAAGCCAGAGGAAACUCUGGUGGAGGCUCGCAGCGGUUCUGACGUGCAAAUCGAUCGUCAAAUAUGAGCAUGGGGGCGAAAGACUAAUCGAACUGUCUAGUAGCUGGUUACCGCCGAAGUUUCCCUCAGGAUAGCAGUGUUGUUCUUCAGUUUUAUGAGGUAAAGCGAAUGAUUAGGGACUCGGGGGCGCUUAUUAGCCUUCAUCCAUUCUCAAACUUUAAAUAUGUAAGAAGCCCUUGUUACUUAAUUGAACGUGGGCAUUCGAAUGUACCAACACUAGUGGGCCAUUUUUGGUAAGCAGAACUGGCGAUGCGGGAUGAACCGAACGCGGGGUUAAGGCGCCAGAGUGUACGCUCAUCAGACACCACAAAAGGCGUUAGUACAUCUUGACAGCAGGACGGUGGCCAUGGAAGUCGGAAUCCGCUAAGGACUGUGUAACAACUCACCUGCCGAAUGUACUAGCCCUGAAAAUGGAUGGCGCUCAAGCGUACCGCCCAUACCCCGCCCUCAGGGUAGAAACGAUGCCCUGAGGAGUAGGCGGCCGUGGGGGUCAGUGACGAAGCCUAGGGCGUGAGCC
rnacentral:rRNA from 1 species